CCAAAAAUGAAAACUCAAUAAAACAAGUGAGGAUAAAUAACUGUAAUGCCCCAAAAUCUAAUAGUUGAUAAAUAAGGCAUUUACUAGAAUUAUGUGUGAAAUAACUUAACUAGGAUUAGUUAACCUAGUUUGUUUUUCUAUGUUAGUUACAAGAAGGAAAUAAAUAAAUUAUCAAAACUACAAGGGUUGAACUUGUACAUUUUAAUUAAAGUUUGGUUAAGUAGUGGAAGAUCACAAACAUCAGACAUAAGUCUGAUGUUGGUGUCGAUGCAAGCCAAGGGCCAAGAAGGGUUUCUCAUGAUGAUGAAAUGUUGAAGAAUUGAAGCAAAAUCCAGCCUUAAUUCUCUUGCAUGUGUAGAGAUUCUACAUCAAAAAGCAAUAUGAAACAUGUGUAUAGGGCUCAUGUCGAGAUGGAUGGAAGCAUAAAGGGCUAACGGGUCAUGAGGACAUGAGGAAACGAGAGCGAAUAUGGAUGCAUAAGGUAAAUCCUCAAUUUUGGUGACUUGGAGAAUCGGAGCGAGCGUGAGUUCAUGUUAUGCCAUACCAAAUGCUUCCGCUAGCUUGUUCAAAUGUUUUUGAUCCAAAAUUUGUUGUAUUGGUUUUUUUUAGUAGUAUCUUGUUGAACGAAUUCUAGAAUUGUAUCUAGUUUUGUUUAUGUUUAAAACAGGGGUAUGCUCGUUUUAUGGACGGGUCAUGCCCGAUUUUUGUUAAAUUAUAGUAUGAUAAUAUCACAUUUAGGAAGAUGAAA